AACGCAUAUUGCGCCUCUUGGUAUUCCGGGAGGCAUGCCUGUUUGAGAACCUUGACGUCCCUCACAACCCCCCAUUCUUUUCAAGAACGGUCGGGUGGUGGAUGUGGGCCUUUCCUCUGAAUAUCCUCACGGAUUUCGGAGUGGCCUGAAAGUCAUUUCUGGUGCUGUCACCUCGCCACCGCGAAGUAGUCCAUGACCAAGACGUGAAAGUAUGGGAAACCAUUCCAAUCGUCGAUGAACCUUGGCAAACGCGGGUCAAUGGCAAGGAGAUAUUUGCAUGCCAGCUCAACCAACUGUGCCAGGCGGCGUAGCUCGCAAGAGCUUUGUCGAACACCUGAACACCUGGUCUCAAAUCAGACAAGAUUACCCGCUGAACUUAA
rnacentral:misc_RNA from 1 species